rnacentral:rRNA from 1 species
ACUCCUACGGGAGGCAGCAGUGGGAAUCUUGGACAAUGGGGGCAACCCGUAGCAUCCAGCCAUGCCGCGUGAGUGAUGAAGGCCUUAGGGUCGUAAAGCUCUUUCGCCUGUGAAGAUAAUGACGGUAGCAGGUAAAGAAACCCGCCGUACAUCCGUGCCAGCAGCCGCGGUAAUACGGAGGGGUUAGCGUUGUUCGGAAUUACUGGGCGUAAAGCGCACGUAGGCGGAUCGGAAAGUUGGGGUGAAAUCCC